rfam:Gossypium raimondii Chr06_contig_698, whole genome shotgun sequence.
AAUCCGUUGUGUGGGUAUUUUGGAAUCAACAUCUUGAAACAUUCCCAUGACUCAUAAAAAAUUUCUCCCUCCAUCUGUUUAAAGACAGCGAUCUCUCUUCUUAGUUG